rnacentral:lncRNA from 1 species
CAUUCUGUUGAGGUUCCUACAUCUUACUCCCAGGAUUCUACACAAACCUGCUAGAAAAAGGCAAUAUCGUACGAGCUUUAUGCACUGAAUGAAAAUUCAACUUGGGACUUUGUUGAUAAACCAACUAAUGGAGUUCUCAUUGGAAGUAAUUGGGUGUAUUCUAUUAAAAUAAGUCAUAUGGUACAAUUGAUCGCUAUAAAGCUCGACUGGUUGCUUAAGGGUACAAACAGAAGUAUGGGGUGAAUUAUGAGGAGACUUUUCUCACCUGUUGCUAAGAUGACAACGGUAUAGACAUUAUUGGCCUUGGUUUCAAUUAAAGGCUGGACUUUACAUCAGUUGGAUGUGAAAAAUAUGUUUCUUCAUGGUGACUUGGAAGAAGUUGUCUUUAUGAAACCACCACCUGGGUGUGUUCUGCCAAGACCAAAUAUAGCUUGUCGUCGUAAAAAAUCUCUUUAUGGCUUAAAACAGGCUCCCAGAUCUUGGUUUGACAAAUUUUGACCCACGAUUCAAACUGUAGGCUUCUCUUAAAGUUCUUCAGAUUAUUUUUUAUUUCUUCAUACUUCUCCGGUAGGUAUCACAGUACUUCUCGUCUAUGUUGAUGAUAUCAUUAUCACCAGAAAUGAUCAAGAGAAUAUUACUAAGUUAAAAAAAUUCUUGUAUACCUCAUUUAAGACGAAGGACUUGGGACGAUUGACAUACAUUCUUGGGCUUGAAGUUCUAUACUUUCCUACUGGGAUAAUGCUUACACAACAAAAGUAUAUUAGUGUUCUUAUUGCUACAGCUGGUCUUACUGAUGACAAGGUUGUAUACAUCCCAAUGGAGAUUAAUACGAAAUAUAAGGAGGCUGAUGGUGAACCAUUCAGUGAUCCCACAUUGUAUCGGCAGUUGGUGGGAUCAUUAGUUUAUCUCACUAUGACAAGGUCGAACAUCUCAUAUACGGUACAAGUUCUAAGUCAGUUUGUAGCUAAUCCUUACCAUAUACAUCACAUUGUAUUACAUCGUGUCAUUCAGUAUGUAUGUGGUUCUAUGAAUCAAGGUGUUCUAUUCCGUUCAGAUUCUCCGAUAAAUUUUAAGAGAUAUAUUGAUGCAGACUGGGCUGGUUGUCCCGAUUCUCGUCGUUCCGUUACUGGUUGGUGCAUGUUUCUAGGUACAUCCUUUAUAUCUUGAAAAUGUAAGAAACAAUCUCGUACAUCUAAAUCAUCUACGGAGGCCGAGUAUCGGGCUUUGUCGGCAGCAAGUUCGAAAAUUGUUUGGCUACGACGUCUAUUAUCUGAGUUUGGUGUUGCUAUUAUGUCUCCUACAGUGUUACAUGUUGAUAACACUAGUGCGAUUAAAAUAGACACAAAUCCUGUGCAACAUGAAAGCACAAAGCAUAUAGAGGUGGACUGUCAUUAUAUUCGGGAACUAGUUGUUGACCGUCUUAUCACUCUACAACACAUUUCUUCUCAUGAUUAACUUGUUGAUUUGUUUACAAAGGCUAUGACACGCGCACGACAUAAUUAUCUUAGCUCUAAAUUGCUACUAUGUGAUCACCGGUAUCAAUUUGAGGGGGGAUGUUAGGCAAUAGAAUAAUUGUAUAGACAGAAUAUUCUCUUUCCUAGAAUAGAAUUUUAUUACUGAUUGUGUAGUUAUGACAAUAUAUAUUCUUUCCUAAAAUAGAACUCUAACCUACAAUUGUAUAGCUAUAAGUACUUCAUUAUGUAUUAUAAAACAAGAUAAGUUGUUAUUCAGAAAAUCUUGAUUUCUCUUAUUUCUCUGUUAGAAAAAAAGUGAAAGAGAGAUUGUAAAUUGUAAUUUUGAAAGUUAGGCUAUUAGAAAUCUCAUUUUUCUGAAAUAUACGCUACUUUUUAUAAGUGCUCCUUUUAAUCAAUGUCACGUUACCUAAAUUUUAGAUAUUGCUAGGUCUGUGUAUUUUAUGGGUUAAUAUGAGCCCAAAAAUAAGGAUAAGGGCAUUGGUGGACCAAUAGAUUGACUGAGGGCAGUCACAAUUCAAAUUAAAUAGGUUGGGGGCUUUAUUAAUCAAUUCUCCAUUCUCUCUUUUAGAUCUUGACUUUUGCUUUGAUUGAUGUGUCUUGUUUUAAUAGGCUUUGUUUGCAAUAGUAAAUGCAAGUGAUCUUCACAAACCCGAUCUGGUUUAGAAUUGUAAGAUUAGUGUUCAAUAGAUGCAUUUCUAGCAUAGUUAAAAUAUUCAAUUGAAACAAGAUUUAGUAGAGAGUGUCAAUUGAAAAGUUUGGGCAAAGGUGUUGCACAUAUUAUAUACACAACUAACAGUAAAAAAUUAAAAAUUAUUAUAUAAUUAAAGUGAAAAACAUCAAAGUAAUGCACCCUAAUGUAACCCGUAAAUACUCAAUUAGGGAAUCGUUUGUUGUUGCUACACUGAAAGGGUUUUCUCUUCAAUUAUACCUGAUUGGUAGAUGACUGUAGAGUUAUUUUAGCUGAGGAUUUCUUUUUUUUUUCUGGAUCUGUAGCUGAGGAGUUGAAGACGUCUUCAAGGAGAUUGGAUUGACUUGGCAUUUGUGAGAGUUUUUGAAUGCCCAUUGAGCAAUCCGCCCAAAUUCUUCAUGCUAGAUAUCUAUGGUGGAAGAAUGAAUCGAUUUAGUAACUCAGCUGGUCUUGUGCUUCUUCAUCAGUGAAUUGACACCAUCGAUCUGGUCCAAACGACGAACAUGGAGAAGCAGCGAUUGAAUUUCUUUCUCUUUCGCUUACUUUCGUUUUCGAGUUUUGCUUUUUUUUCUUUUACUUUCCCUUUUGUUCUUUUCACUCUUAGAUCAUUUUGGACCAAGUUUUCUUGUUGGACUCAAUUUUUUAUUCAGUAAUAAAUGUUAUCAUGGUCCAAUCACUUCGGAAAUUAAAAAAAUGACAAACAUCAACAAAUAUACGUAAGUACAGGAUUCACAUAGCUUGAAGUUAAAAUAUGUGUUAUGCACUCUCACAAAUGUUUCAAGCAAAAAAAAAACUAACGAUGGUUAACUUGUGAC